rnacentral:misc_RNA from 1 species
AACGCAAGUUGCGUCCGAGGCCACUCGGCCGAGGGCACGCCUGCCUGGGCGUCACGCCAAACAUGCUCCCACCCCCUCAUCGGGGAGUGGGAUGCGGCAUGUGGCUCUGCGUCACGCAAGGGGCAGAUGGCCGAAGAUUCGGCGGCCGACGUAUCGUGUCGGACACAGCAUGUGGUGGGCGACCUCGCUUAACUUACCGCAGUGCAACCGGCGCGAAGCCGACAUUACGGCCACGGGUGACACUUUGAACGGAGCGCACAACGCUUCGACCGCGACCCCAAGUCAGGCGGGACUACCCGCUGAGUUUAA